GUCUACAGCCAUACCACCCUGAAUGUGCCCAAUCUCAUCUGAUCUCAGAAGCUAAGCAGGGUCGGGCUUGGUUAGUACUUGGAUGGGAGACAGAUCUUCAGAAGAGACU
rnacentral:rRNA from 1 species